rnacentral:misc_RNA from 1 species
UUUCCGUAGGUGAACCUGCGGAAGGAUCAUUAUUGGAUUUUGAAACUUCAGGCUGCUGCUGGCUCUCCUCGGUGGGCAUGUGCACGCUUGUUGUCCAUUAUUUCUCCCACUGUGCACAGAUUGUAGACCUUUCAGUAGGCCUAUGUUGUUUUUCACAAUCUCUAAAUGUAAUAGAAUGGUUUUGAAUCUUGGGAAAUACAAUACAACUUUCAGCAACGGAUCUCUUGGCUCUC